AGAGUUUGAUCCUGGCUCAGGAUGAACGCUAGCGGCAGGCUUAACACAUGCAAGUCGAGGGGCAUCGGGAGGGAAGCUUGCUUUCCUUGCCGGCGACCGGCGCACGGGUGAGUAACACGUAUGCAACCUGCCCUCUUCAGGGGGACAACCUUCCGAAAGGGAGGCUAAUCCCGCGUAUAUCGGUUUCGGGCAUCCGAGAUCGAGGAAAGAUUCAUCGGAAGAGGAUGGGCAUGCGGCGCAUUAGCUAGACGGCGGGGUAACGGCCCACCGUGGCGACGAUGCGUAGGGGUUCUGAGAGGAAGGUCCCCCACACUGGUACUGAGACACGGACCAGACUCCUACGGGAGGCAGCAGUGAGGAAUAUUGGUCAAUGGGAGAGAUCCUGAACCAGCCAAGCCGCGUGAGGGAAGACGGCCCUAUGGGUUGUAAACCUCUUUUGACGGAGAACAAAACCCGGGACGUGUCCCGGACUGCGUGUAUCCGAAGAAAAAGCAUCGGCUAACUCCGUGCCAGCAGCCGCGGUAAUACGGAGGAUGCGAGCGUUAUCCGGAUUUAUUGGGUUUAAAGGGUGCGUAGGCGGUCCGUUAAGUCAGCGGUAAAAUUGCGGGGCUCAACCCCGUCGAGCCGUUGAAACUGGCAGACUUGAGUUGGCGAGAAGUACGCGGAAUGCGCGGUGUAGCGGUGAAAUGCAUAGAUAUCGCGCAGAACUCCGAUUGCGAAGGCAGCGUACCGGCGCCAGACUGACGCUGAGGCACGAAAGCGUGGGGAUCGAACAAAAUUAGAUACCCUGGUAGUCCACGCAGUAAACGAUGAAUGCUGGUUGUCGGGGUCGAAUGAGAUUUGGGCGGGGAAGGGAAAGCGAUAAGCAUUCCACCUGGGGAGUACGCCGGCAACGGUGAAACUCAAAGGAAUUGACGGGGGCCCGCACAAGCGGAGGAACAUGUGGUUUAAUUCGAUGAUACGCGAGGAACCUUACCCGGGCUCAAACGGGAGUGGAAUGGAUCAGAGACGGUUCAGCCUACGGGCCGCUUCCGAGGUGCUGCAUGGUUGUCGUCAGCUCGUGCCGUGAGGUGUCGGCUUAAGUGCCAUAACGAGCGCAACCCCCGCCGGCAGUUGCUAACGGGCAAUGCCGAGGACUCUGCCGGGACUGCCGCCGCAAGGCGAGAGGAAGGCGGGGAUGACGUCAAAUCAGCACGGCCCUUACGUCCGGGGCGACACACGUGUUACAAUGGGCGGUACAGCGGGAAGCCAGGCGGCGACGCCGAGCGGAACCCGAAAGCCGUUCUCAGUUCGGAUCGGAGUCUGCAACCCGACUCCGUGAAGCUGGAUUCGCUAGUAAUCGCGCAUCAGCCAUGGCGCGGUGAAUACGUUCCCGGGCCUUGCACACACCGCCCGUCA
rnacentral:rRNA from 1 species